AACUUCAGUUAAGAGCUGUGCUUCUCUGAGAACAUCAGGCUGAGGUAGGGGACUGACUUCAGGAGCAACACUCUAACAGAAGAAACAAUUUCAAUUAUAUAAAGAAAUCUUCUGCCUCUAUAAUCUGGACAAUCUAGAAACAAUGCUCUGUCAUGACCAAGCAGACAAGGAAUGAUGCUGCUACACAGAAAUUAUUACCAUUGCUGAAGAGGAGCAGAAUCUGUCUUGAUAUAAAAACUUUCCUGAUUCCUAAGGAAAUAAGCUGCAUAGAUCACUAAGUACAUAUUAUAGAAAGAUGGAGAGCUGGGCAGGCAACUUGCCAAUGACAGUGGGUAGAAAAGAAACACCCUUGCCAAUAACGAGACAGAUGUUUAGAAGAAGAAAAAAUCACUGCAAGUUGCAUCCCUAUGAGAGCCACUGAGAAGCAGCAAUCCAGUUCUUAGAACUAUAGCACUCACUAGGAAAUGAUGCUCACCACCAAUUUUGAAACAUGAGCACCUCAAUAGAGAAUCCAACUAAUAAAUAUGAAAGCUAUAAGACAA